AAAGUACUCCCUCCGUCCCAAAAUUCUUGUCUUAGAUUUUUCUAGAUACAGAUGUAUCAAGUCACAUUUUAGUAUUAGAUACAUCUGUAUCUAAACAAAUCUAAGACAAGAAAUUUGGGACAGAGGGAGUAGUUG
rnacentral:pre_miRNA from 1 species